GCCAGUAUGGUGUAGUGGUUUGAGCAUUAGACUAGGACUCUAGAGACCAGGGAUGAAAUCUCUGCUUAGCUA